rnacentral:lncRNA from 1 species
AAUUUAUAAAAAUUACCAUAAAAUUGAUAUGUAUGUCAACACCGAAAUGCUGACAGACCCAAACUAAAAACAAAUCUGAUAUAUUUUCAUCUUUCGUUGUGAUAUAAAAGUCGCUUCAGUGCCCUUGUAUUUAUCUUCCAAGAAAACGAAAAUUACAGAAAUUUUACAGAACGAUACAUGACUUACACAUUUACAAACACACAACAAAAUGAAUAUGAAGAUAUACAUGCAUAAAAUUAAAAAAGAAUCACAAAGAUAAAAUAAGGACAAAUAUAUAUAAAUGGCAC